GGUAACACCGGUGGCUCGAGUGGUAACCGCUGUUAUUGGGUCUAAAGGGUCUGUAGCCGGCCGGCUAAGUCUCUUGGGAAAUCUGGCAUCUCAAGUGUCAGGCUGCCAGGGGAUACUGGUCGGCUUGGGACCGGGAGAGGUGAGAGGUACCUCCGGGGUAGGGGUGAAAUCUUGUAAUCCUUGAGGGACCACCAGUGGCGAAGGCGUCUCACCAGAACGGAUCCGACGGCAAGGGACGAAAGCUAGGGGCACGAACCGGAUUAGAUACCCGGGUAGUCCUAGCCGUAAACGAUACUCGCUAGGUGUCGGCCACGGUGCGACCGUGGUCGGUGCCGUAGGGAAGCCGUGAAGCGAGCCACCAGGGAAGUACGGCCGCAAG
rnacentral:rRNA from 1 species